UUGAAAUGAAAUUUGCCAUUCUACUUGCUGAGUUGAAAAACUAAAAACGUUCAUGUUUAUCGCAAUUUGGCAAUUAUUUGCAAACUACAUCGGUAAUCCGUCUGAUCCAGCGCCUAUGCGUGUUCGACAUUAAUAAUAUAAAUUAACGAGUGUUUUCGAUACAACGUGCGCGGCCACGUCGAUGCUCACGACGUCCCAUUAGCGCUGUUGACCGACGCGGAGAAUAAUUGUCUUCCAUUUUGGGAAAUAUAAUUACAGGGUACUUUUUCCGAACCGGUGUUCCGUCGCUCAACUGUAUAAUAUAUGAAGUACGUAUCGUUCGCCACUUAUUGUAGUGCAUACAAUUACGAGUGCUCCGUGAUCGAUUUUAACCGCGUUGAAACAGUUAUCGUCGUGAAUGACGAUCCUUUGCCGAAUUAGUAUCCCAACAAUCGAGCGAAUCUCCACGCUCAUGUGCAGACUUGCAUCUCUUUUCCAACACUGUAGCUGCGGCGGUUGGAAGGACGAAAAAAAAAGGACAGACAAAAAACGAAAUGGAAAAGAUUCUAAUAGUUUCUCAGCGAUGCGGAUAGUAUACGCGUAGAAGUCGUGUACAAAUGGGAAGUUUCUGCGUUUUCGGGUUGAAAGAGGGUUCAGGAAAUCACGUAGCUGUGCACACGGCGUAUCAUGUGCGACCUGACCCUCAGAUUCUACGUCGACAGCUAUCCUGCGCGGCCGCCCGGUUGCCUUACCAAAUCCAAUCAAGUGCGGAUUGGAAUGCGGCGUGGCUAAGAGAGCGAGAGAGAUGAAAUUCGUUGUCUCUAACGGAGAGAAAGAGAAGGCUUGACGCCGUUGCGACUCCCGCUCGAUGAUGAUGAUGAUCAUCAUCAUGAUCAUGAUGAUGAUGAUGAUGAUGAUGAUGAUGAUGAUGAUGUUUCAUGCCGACAGCGCGUAAUCUCAGAGAUUCAACUCCGCGGAACGACAAAAAAAAAUUAUGUGAUAAAAUCAGAUAAAAUAAUAUAAUUAGAAACGGAUAUUUUACUCUUGUUCACAUGUCUUUUUUUUAUUCAUUAGUUUUUUUUUUUUCGAUUCAUCAACUGCGACAUUAAAAGAGUUAUAUUUCACUGUAAAAUAUUCAUUUUUAUUACACGGUAUCAUUGGUUCGACGAGUCAAAUGCGUUAGUAUGAUAUAACGAGGCGUAAAUUACAUUACAGAUAUAUAUAUGCAGCGUUAUUAUUAUCCAGGAAACUUAAUUUUACGAAUUAUGUCAAAAUCAAACGUAAAUAUCAGCGUUAUACCCACAUACAUGUUGCGUGUCAUUAUGUGAUAAGAAUGAAAGAAUUGACCAAUUGUUACCUAUUCAUAUACUAUUUUUAUAAUAAAUCGAUAUA